AUUGAACGCUGGCGGCAUGCCUAACACAUGCAAGUCGAACGGGAGCUUCGGGUUUGGUCCUGCAUUGAGCGGCGGACGGUUGAGUAAUGCCUAGGAAUUUGCCUUGUCGUGGGGGAUAGCGUGCUGAAACCGGCUCUAAUACCGCAUACGUCCUGAGGUCGAAAUUGGGUGAUCUUCGGACCUCACGCUAUCAGAUUAGCCUAGGUCGGAUUAGCUAGUUGGUGGGGUAAAGGCCUACCAAGGCGACGAUCCGUAACUGGUCUGAGAGGAUGAUCAGUCACACUGGAACUGAGACACGGUCCAGACUCCUACGGGAGGCAGCAGUGGGGAAUAUUGGACAAUGGGGGAAAGCCUGAUCCAGAAAUGCCGCGUGUGUGAAGAAGGUCUUCGGAUUGUAAAGCACUUUAGGUGGGGAGGAAGGGAAGUAAGUUAAUACCGUGCUGUGAUGACGGUACCAGCAGAAUAAGCACCGGCUAACUUCGUG
rnacentral:rRNA from 1 species